AUGAGAAGCGUUGACUUAAGAGAUGCCAAGUCACUCAGCAGAUGUCACACAGAUGACAACUAGCAAAGAUGGAAGGCUUCAUGCUGGAGGCAGUUCUAUAAGACAGCUGAGUUCUCCAGAGCUGGUAGGAGACAGACUUGCUCAGGUGAUAGAUCCGGCCAUGAUAUUGGCCAUAAGAGAAUCUGACACUGCAGAAGUCAUAGAAGAUUCCUGAAACUGGGAAAGAUGCCUAGAAAUCUGGAGAAGAGUGAAGAAGCAGCUGGCAGGCAGAGCCCCCUUCCACAUCACUAUGAAAGACAUCCAACAGACAGCAAGUUUCCACCUCACUUCCAGCUUGAUUCCUCUUUAUCUCCUAAUUGCGGCGUGUGAUGUCUUCAGGAGUGGAAUUAACUAGUUCUGGGUACCUGGAGGCACAGCAGCCAUGUUGAACCUAUGAGGUGAUGAAAAGCCAUGCAACUAGAAGCCAGAAUGGAAGAAAAGAAGAGGCUGGAUCCCUGACUGAAUUGUCGAUGGGGAUAGUCCGUCAUCCCAGGGCUAAGACCACCUCCAUAUUUCUUGUUUGGUGAAACAAUUCCUAACUGGUUACAUUCCUUUAUGUUGAGCUGUCUCUUACUUGUAGCUGAAAGCGAUUCUAAUAGAUAUUCAGAUUAUCUGCACACUGAGGGGCAGCCUUAGCUCCAAGCUAGAAUACUCUAGGGGACUUUAGCUUCUCCAUGAAUUCCUUUGCUCAUCUGUGUAAUGCUCAAUAAAUGUAAAUUGAACCCUGAAUGAGGGACAAUGAC
rnacentral:lncRNA from 1 species